GCUUAGGUUUCUCGUCUUAGGAUCAUCUGGGGUCAUUCGUACUCGUCCGCGAGAGGUGAAAUUCUUGGACCGGACGAAGACGAUCAGCAGCGAAAGCAUCUGUCAGGGAUGUUUUCUGCGACAAAGGACGAAGGUCAGGGUAUCGAAGACGAUUAGAUACCGUCGUAGUCCUGACUGUAAACUAUGCCGACUUGGGUCUUGCAGAGUAAAUACUUUGUGAGACCCACACAGAAAUGAAAGUGUAUGGGUUCUGGGGGUAGUAUGGACACAAGUCUGAAACUUGAAGGAAUUGACGGAAGAGCACCAUAAGACGUGGAGCUUGCGGCUUAAUUUGACUCAACGCGGGAAAACUUACCAGGUCAAGACAUGGGCGUGAUUGACAGGCUAAUGACCUUUCUCGAUUCCUUGGAUGGUGGUGCAUGGUCGCACUUAGUUGGUGCAGCGAUUUGUCAGGUUUAUUCCGGUAACGAACGAGACCUCGGCCUUGUAAAUAGUUUUACUGCUUACAGGGACAAUGUCGGCUACGUCAAGGAAGUUCGAGGCAAUUGCAGAUCUGGAAUGCCCUUAGAUGUCCUGGGUCGCACGCGUGCUACAAUGACGCCACGAGCGAGUUCAUGUGUUGAAAGACAUGUGAAAUCAGC
rnacentral:rRNA from 1 species